AACUUUCAGCAACGGAUCUCUUGGCUCUCGCAUCGAUGAAGAACGCAGCGAAUUGCGAUAAGUAAUGUGAAUUGCAGAUUUUCAGUGAAUCAUCGAAUCUUUGAACGCACCUUGCGCUCCUU
rnacentral:rRNA from 1 species